GACGAACGCUGGCGGCGUGCCUAACACAUGCAAGUCGAACGAGUCCAGACUUCGGUCUGAAGCGAGUGGCGGACGGGUGAGUAACACGUGAGCAAUCUAUCCCUGUGCGGGGGACAACCCGGGGAAACCCGGGCUAAUACCGCAUGGUCAAUUGGAAGGAUCUUCCGGUUGGGAAAGGUGGCCUCUUUACAAUGCUGCCGUGCAGGGAGGAGCUCGCGGGCUAUCAGCUAGUUGGUGCGGUCACGGCGCACCAAGGCGACGACGGCUACGGGGUCUGAGAGGACGACCCCGCACAUUGGAACUGAGACACGGUCCAGACUCCUACGGGAGGCAGCAGUGGGGAAUUUUGGGCAAUGGCCGAAAGGCUGACCCAGCGACGCCGCGUGUGGGAGGAAGCCCUUCGGGGUGGUAAACC
rnacentral:rRNA from 1 species